UACGUAGGUGGCAAGCGUUGUCCGGAUUCAUUGGGCGUAAAGGGUGCGUAGGUGGCGUCGUAAGUCGGGUGUGAAAUUUCGGAGCUCAACUCCGAAACUGCAUUCGAUACUGCGGUGCCUGAGGACUGGAGAGGAGACUGGAAUUUACGGUGUAGCAGUGAAAUGCGUAGAGAUCGUAAGGAAGACCAGUGGCGAAGGCGGGUCUCUGGACAGUUCCUGACACUGAGGCACGAAGGCCAGGGGAGCAAACGGG
rnacentral:rRNA from 1 species